GAGAGAGAGAAAAGAAGCAGCUUAUUAAAGAGGCUGGCACACUAACCUGCACUCAGACUGCACUCUCCAGAGUGUGUGAAUGUGAAUGAGAGAAAAAAAAAAAAGCUGUGGGACCGGUCCUCAGACCUCCGACGGAGCGGUGGAGAAAAAGUCUGCCUGAGUAGUGCAUACUUACGGUGGAAGUGGAGAAGAGUGCAGAGGAAAGGAAGGCGUCUGGAUGGACAAGCUUUGCACUGACAGUGGCCUGGACCCACUCUGGGACUGGAACGUGACGUGGUACACAUUAAACCCGGACCUGACGAAGUGUUUUCAGCACACGGUUCUUGUCUGGUUCCCCUGUUUCUAUCUGUGGCUUUGCUGUCCAUUUUACGUCCUCUACCUCCGACGCUUCCAUCAUGGCCGCAUCUCCUUCUCCAGACUCUGCUGCGCCAAAACAGUUCUGGGUGUGUGCUUGGUGUUAUUCGGUAUUUUGGAGCUGCUUUAUCUGCUGUUUGAGAGGAAAGCAGCGAUCAAACACCACAUGGUUUUCCUCCUGAGACCCGUCAUUCGCAGCCUUACCAUGGUCUUGGCAGUGUGUAUCAUCCAUCUGGAAAGAAUAAUGGGAUGCCGCUCCUCACUUUUUCUUUUUCUCUACUGGACUAUGACGGUGAUCUGUUCCAUCGUUCCGCUCAGAGCAAACAUCCACACCACCGUGGGAGAGGAUUUCUCCCAAGGUGCGAUGCGACUGGUGGUGUUUUUCUCCUGCUUCUCUCUUGAGCUCGCUCAGCUCAUCCUCAGCUGUUUCUCUGAUCAACGACCGCUCGCUUUGAAACCAGGCCAUGUGAUGGAGAACCCAUGUCCUGUUGAAGAUGCGUCUUUUCUCUCUAAAGCGCUGUUCUGGUGGUUCAGUGGGCUGGUGGUGAAAGGCUAUCGCUCACCUUUAACCUCUGAAGAUCUCUGGUCUUUACGAGAAGAAGACACAUCGGAAAAGAUCAUCAGCGACCUGGAGAGAGAGUGGAGCACACAGUGUGCUGAACUACAGCAGGAGCGGUGUGUGAACGUAUCUCGAACCCUGAGCUGCAGGAUCACGGAGCAGAUGCAGCUCCUGCAGAAACUGCGCCAGGAACAGAGCGCCGGCUUCCUCCUGCUGCGCACGCUAGCCAAAACCUUCGGCCCGUACUUCCUGUCAGGAACGCUCUGCCUGAUCUUCCAUGACGCCUUCAUGUUCUCCAUCCCUCAGCUGCUCAGUCUGCUGCUGGACGUGGUGAGAGAUAAGGACGCCCCCUUGUGGAAGGGUUAUUUAUUCGCCUUCUCCAUGUUCCUGCUCUCGUGCCUGCAGUCGCUCUUUAAUCAUCAGUACAUGUACAGCUGCUUCACCGUGGGCAUGAGGGUCAAAACCGCCAUCAUGGGUCUCGUCUAUAGGAAGUCUCUGGUGAUCAGCAACACUGCCCGCAGGGCAUGUACAGUCGGAGAGAUAGUGAACUUGGUCUCCACUGACACUCAGAAACUCAUGGACUUUGUUGUGUACUUCAACGCGGUUUGGUUAGCGCCCAUUGAAGUCGCUCUGUGUCUUUUCUUUCUUUGGCAGCGUUUGGGGCCUUCGGCUUUAGCGGGAAUCACUACAGUGAUCUUUAUCUUCCCUCUGAAUGGCCUCAUCGCCAAAAUGCGCAGCAAACUGCAGGAGUUCCAGAUGAAGCACAUGGAUGGACGAAUAAAGCUGAUGAACGAGAUUCUGAGUGGAAUAAAGAUCCUGAAGUUUUAUGCCUGGGAGAAAGCGUUCGAGGAGCGAGUGCUGAGUUUCAGGGAGAAGGAACUGAAGGCAAUGAAGAAAUCACAAAUCCUUUAUUCCAUCUCCAUCGCCUCCUUCAACUCCUCCACUUUCCUGAUUGCCUUCGCCAUGUUUGGGUUUUACGUUCUCAUCGAUGAGAAGAACGUUCUGGACGCUCAGAAGGUCUUUGUCUCCCUGGCUCUCAUCAAUAUCCUCAAGACGCCACUGAGUCAGCUUCCCUUCGCCAUGAGCACCACCAUGCAGGCUGUUGUCUCUCUCAAACGUCUCGGGAAGUUCCUGUGUCAGGACGAGCUGAGAGUGGACGCUGUGUCCAGAACUCCGUACACUCCGGACGGUGAGAGCAUCGUGAUAGAGGACGGCUCUUUCAGCUGGAGCAGAGACGGAGCGCUGUGUUUAAAGAGAGUGAGUAUGAAAGUGCCAAACGGCUCACUGGUGGCAGUGGUGGGUCACGUCGGCAGCGGAAAAUCCUCCCUUCUUUCUGCCGUACUGGGAGAGAUGGAGAAAAAGAGCGGAGAGGUCACAGUGAAGGGUUCGGUGGCGUACGUGCCUCAGCAGGCCUGGAUCCAGAACGCCACGCUGAGGGAGAACAUCGUGUUCGGGCAGCAGAUAAAGGAAAGCAGCUAUCAGAGAGUGCUGGAGGCUUGUGCUCUCCUCCCAGACCUGGAGAUCCUUCCUGGAGGAGACGACACCGAGAUCGGAGAGAAGGGUCUGAAUCUCUCCGGAGGACAGAAACAGAGAGUGAGUUUAGCGAGAGCAGUGUACAGAAAUGCUGAUGUUUACCUGCUGGACGACCCGCUUUCGGCCGUCGACACACACGUGGGUCAGCACAUCUUCGACCAAGUCAUUGGGCCUGAGGGGAUUCUCAAAAAUAAGACACGUGUGCUGGUGACCCACGGGCUGAGCUUCCUGCCUCAAGCUGACCUCAUCCUGGUGAUGGGAGAUGGACAGAUCAUGGAGGCGGCCUCGUACACGGAGCUGCUGGAGAGAAGGAGCUCAUUCGCAGACAUCCUUAAAAUCUUCUCCAACACUGAACACAGAGAAAAUUCCACUAACAGGGGUCAGAGGAAAUCACUGUCGCGUCUGAGUAUGACGGAUUUCUCCAUCGAUUUCUCCCAGGAGCAACUCAUCAGUGGAGAUAUGAGCAGCAGUGUCGGGAUUCAGACCAUGGAGACUUUAUCUGACUUGGACCAGGAGCUGGAUACGAAGGAACUCGGAAAAUUAACAGAGGCUGAUAAAGCUCACACUGGAAGGGUGAAGAUGGAGAUGUACAUGGUGUAUUUCAGGACCAUUGGCCUGGCCUUCAUCAUCCCCAUCAUCUUCCUCUACGCGUUUCAGCAGGCCGCGUCGCUCGGAUAUAAUUACUGGCUGCAGCUUUGGGCUGACGAUCAUGUAAUCAGCGGAUAUCAGAACCAAACGGACGUGAAGCUAGCCGUGUUCGGCGCUCUUGGCUUUGCUCAGGGGAUCGCCAUCUUCGCCACCACCAUAGCCAUCUCGUUAGGAGGCAUCAUCGCUUCUCGCCAUCUUCACCUGGACCUUCUGCGUAGCGUCCUGCGCACGCCCAUGUCGUUUUUCGAGAGCACGCCGAGCGGAAACCUCCUCAACCGCUUCUCCAAGGAGGUGGACGCCAUCGACUGCAUGAUCCCCGAAGCCUUUAAGAUGAUGCUGGGAUACGUCUUCAAGCUGCUGGAGGUCUGCAUCAUCGUGCUCGUGGCCACGCCCGUCGCUGGAGUCGUCAUUCUUCCUCUGGCUCUGUUCUACGUCUUCAUCCAGAGCUUCUAUGUGGCUACAUCCUGCCAGCUCCGGCGUCUGGAGUCGGUGAGCCGCUCGCCCAUCUACACACACUUCAACGAGACGGUGCAGGGAGCGAGCGUGAUCAGGGCGUUUGGAGAACAGCCCAGGUUUAUCCUGCAGGCGAACAGCAGAGUGGAUCACAACCAAACCUCUUACUUCCCCAGAUUCGUCGCUACCAGAUGGCUGGCCGUCAAUCUAGAGUUCCUGGGGAACCUGUUGGUCCUUGCGGCUGCGAUCCUGUCCGUGCGGGAAAGAGAAUCUCUGAGUCCCGGGAUCGUCGGCUUGGCCGUGUCACACUCUCUUCAGGUGACGGGCAUUCUGAGCUGGAUCGUACGUUCCUGGACAGAUGUGGAAAACAACAUUGUGUCAGUGGAGAGAGUGAAAGAGUACACAGAUACGCCUAAAGAGGCAGCUUGGUCAAUAGAGAACAUGCCUCUGCCCUCACACUGGCCACAAACAGGCACCAUUAAGUUUGACCAGUACGGACUUCAGUACAGAAAAGGACUGGACUGGGCUUUAAAGGAGAUUACACUCAGCAUCCAGGAGAAGGAAAAGGUUGGGAUCGUGGGUCGGACCGGAGCGGGAAAAUCGUCUCUUGCACUCGGAAUCUUCCGGAUCCUCGAGGCAACAAAGGGAAAUAUCUAUAUAGACGAACAGAACAUCGCUGAGAUCGGAUUGCAUGACCUCCGAUCUCGCAUCACCAUCAUCCCACAGGACCCGGUUCUGUUCUCCGGAUCUCUCCGCAUGAACCUGGACCCAUUUGAUGGUUACUCUGAUGAGGAGGUGUGGAAAGCUCUGGAACACGCUCAUCUCAAAAACUUCGUCUCAGGCCUUCAAGACAAACUGAACCACGAGUGUUCCGAGGGAGGAGAGAACCUCAGUCUGGGUCAGAGGCAGCUGGUGUGUUUGGCUCGAGCUCUCCUGAGGAAGACGAAGAUUCUGGUUCUGGAUGAAGCCACAGCGGCCGUGGACGUGGAGACGGACGAACUGAUCCAGUCCACCAUCCGCACACAGUUCGAGGAGUGUACAGUGCUGACCAUCGCUCACCGCCUCAACACCAUCAUGGACUAUACACGUGUGCUGGUGAUGGAGCGAGGGUCUAUUACAGAAAUGGACUCUCCCUCUAACCUGCUCUCACAGAGAGGCCUCUUCUACAACAUGUGCCAGGAGGCGGGGCUAGUGACAUCAUCAUCGUCAUCGUGAUAUGCUGUGCUUGGGCAGGAACAGGGAGUGUGGUCAUCUCCUGAAGGAAAAAGGGAGUGGAGGAACUUGACUGGCCUGCACAGAGUCCUGACCUCAACCCCAUAGAACACCUUUGGGAUGAAUUAGAGCGGAGACUGUGAGCCAGACCUUCUCGUCCAACAUCAGUGCCUGACCUCACAAAUGUGCUUCUAGAGGAAUGGUCAAAAAUUCCCAUAAACACACUCCUAAACCUUGUGGAAGUCUUCCCAGAAGAGUUGAAGCUGUUAUAGCUGCAAAGGGCGGGACAACUCCAUAUUACAUUCAUGUGCAGGUAAAGACAGACGUCUCCGUUUUGGCCUGGCUCACAGUCUCCGCUCACAGUUUCUCCGUUCCUGACAUUUACAAAUGGGACAAAAACACUUACAAAACAAUUUAUUUAUUUAUUUUUUUUAAACUCCUGAAAUAAAGCACACAUCAAAACUAGUGCAUGUGUAUUACAGAUAAUAACACACAAACAAAAAGAACACACACACACACACACACACACACACACAGUAUAAAUAAGUAACAAACUUCAGCCUGACCAAUAAUGAGGACGUGUUUGGUACAUUCAGCUUUCACUCACACACACACACACGUUCUCUCUCUCCUACACACACACACACACACACGUUCUCUCUCUCCUACACACACACGUUCUCUCUCUCCUACACACACACACACACACACACACAC